AUGUUUCACAAUAUUUUCAUUCCUUUAAUUACAAGAAAUUGUGUCAGUUCUGAUUUUGUGAGUAUUUCAAAGCUGUCUGCAUUGAACAAUGUGUUGACACAUUUUAGAUGUCAAAGGAGCAGCCCCAAUAGCCGGUUAUGCUUCAGGCUUGUCUCACACUGAAUUUUCUCUCUGUCUCUUUUACGGCCAGCCCAGCUGGAAGGUGACGCCUCAAAAGGUUUGGCUUCCUUGCUCUGCAGAGAGCCUCUCUGUGGAUCUGCUGCUCUUGGAGCUGUUCUGGGGAGGUGUGAGAACUCCUCCUUUUCCCCUCUCAUGAGCGUAGCUGGGGCUCCAUUUCAGCCAAGCCAAGAACCACAGCAGGACUGGUGCUCCCCACCAUUCCCCUGUGGAGAGGCAGUGGCAUUCUGCAGCCAAGUGAGGCAUCUGGUGCCUCUCUGAGGUUUCUCAUUGACACAAUUAAUGCUUCAUCUGUGAACCUGGCUGAACAAAGUAUCAUCCUCUGCUCAGGAAAUUUUUGAGAUCCUGAUUCUAGGGAGCUGGCAAACUCCAGAUCUCUGAGGUGAUGAUGGCUUUGAUUUCAUUCUGGUAUGGCAUCACACUCAGGCUGUGAUCUGCUCCAGGUCUUACUCUGCUGCUUAGUUCUCCUGGCAUGGAUGGUCAGGGAAGAGGAGCUGGGCCAGCAAAAAUGUUCAAGUCCUGCUGUCUGAAGGAAGCCCAUGUUUUGUAUGAGAGCGCUGCUUGGCUGGUCUGAGCAGAAGCAAGGGUUCUUGGUAAGUGGUGGCCAGGAUUUGAUAACAAAGAAUAAAAUUACA